AUUUUAAUAGUUUACUCUGAUGUAUUAUGUAUAGAGCAUCAAGACUGAAGAUGCUAAGGCAGCAGACUGGCUUAAGAACA
rnacentral:tRNA from 1 species